rnacentral:rRNA from 1 species
AAAAACAUGGUUUUUUGUUUUAUAUAAAAAAUCUGGCCUGCUCAGUGAAUUUUAAAUAGCUGCAGUAUUUUGACUGUACAAAGGUAGCAUAAUCAUUUGUCUUUUAAUUGAGGUCUGGAAUGAAUGGUUUGAUGAAAAAAAUACUUUAUUUGUUUUUUAAAAAAAAAUUAAUUUUUAAGUAAAAAAGCUUGAAAAUUUUCUUAUAGGACGAGAAGACCCUAUAGAGCUUUAUUUUAAUAUCUUUAUAUUAUGUUGGGUUAUAUAUUUUUAAUAAAAAUAUUAUAAAUUUUGUUGGGGUGACAAAAAAAAUAUCAUAACUUUUUUUAAUUAUUACAUUAGUUAAUGUAUUUUUGAUCCUUUUUUUGGAAAAAAGAAUAAGCUACCUUAGGGAUAACAGCGUUAUUAUUUCGAAGAGUUCAUAUCGAUGAAAUAGUUUGCGACCUCGAUGUUGGAUUAAAAUAAGAUAUAGAAGUAGAAUGUUAUAUUCUUGGUCUGUUCGACCUUUAAAUUUUUACAUGAUCU